rnacentral:rRNA from 1 species
GAAGGGUGCAAGCGUUAAUCGGAAUUACUGGGCGUAAAGCGUGCGUAGGCGGUGAGUUAAGUCUGUUGUGAAAUCCCCGGGCUCAACCUGGGAAUGGCAAUGGAUACUGGCUCGCUAGAGUGUGAUAGAGGAUGGUGGAAUUCCCGGUGUAGCGGUGAAAUGCGUAGAGAUCGGGAGGAACAUCAGUGGCGAAGGCGGCCAUCUGGAUCAACACUGACGCUGAGGCACGAAAGCGUGGGGAGCAAACAGGAUUAGAUACCCAGGUAGUCCACGCCCUAAACGAUGCGAACUGGAUGUUGGUCUCAACUCGGAGAUCAGUGUCGAAGCUAACGCGUUAAGUUCGCCGCCUGGGGAGUACGGUCGCAAGACUG